GAGCGGUGGAUUGUAUAGAAGUGAGAAUGCCGGUGUGAGUAGCGAGAUGUAGGUGAGAAUCCUACACACCGAAAGCCCAAGGAUUCCAGGGGAAGGUUCGUCCGCCCUGGGUAAGUCGGGACCUAACGCGAGGCCGAAAGGCGUAGUGGAUGGAAAGCAGGCGAAAGAUUCCUGCACCCGUAUAUGGAGCGAAGGAGUGACGGAGACGGAUAGUGUGACCCUCUUAAUGGAUUGAGGGCGAAGCGAAGCGGCUGGUUACCAGGCAAAUCCGGUAACCAAAAGGCUAGAGCGUGACAGGUAAGCGAAAUCUUCGGAAAGUAGCGAAGCACAUGAUGACGGCUUCCAGGAAAAGCUUCUGGCAAUGCAUAUGCGGCCCGUACCGAAAACCGACACAGGUGGGCAGGGAGAGAAUCCCGAGGUGAGCGAGAGAACUGUUGCCAAGGAACUCGGCAAAAUGACUCCGUAAGUUAGCGAGAAGGAGUGCUUAAGCAAUUAAGCCGCAGUGAAGAGGCCCAAGCGACUGUUUAACUAAAACACAGCUCUCUGCGAAGUCGCAAGACGAAGUAUAGGGGGUGACACCUGCCCGGUGCUGGAAGGUUAAGAGGAUCUGUUAAGAGCGAUCUGAAGCAGUGAUCCGAAGCCCCAGUGAACGGCGGCCGUAACUAUAACGGUCCUAAGGUAGCGAAAUUCCUUGUCAGGUAAGUUCUGACCCGCACGAAAGGUGUAACGAUUUGGGCGCUGUCUCGGCAGCAGACUCGGUGAAAUCUUAGUACCUGUGAAAAUGCAGGUUACCCGCAACUAGACGGAAAGACCCCAUGGAGCUUUACUGCAGCCUGAUAUUGAAUUCUGGUCAUACAUGUACAGGAUAGGUGGGAGACAAAGAGACGUGCACGCCAGUGUACGAGGAGUCGACGUUGGGAUACCACUCUUGUGUGACCGGGGUUCUAACCUGGUAUCGAGAACAGGUACGGGGAGAGUGUCAGGUGGGCAGUUUGACUGGGGCGGUCGCCUCCCAAAGAGUAACGGAGGCGCCCAAAGGUACGCUCAGAUUGGAUGGAAACCAAUCGUCGAGUGCAAUUGCAGAAGCGUGCUUGACUGUGAGACUUACAA
rnacentral:rRNA from 1 species